GGGAAAGGAGGAAAAAGGAGGGAAGCAAGGGACAGAAACUAGACUUACUUUAAGCAGAACUAACACAAUUGCAACAAAUUUAGAUUUACAGAACAUUUUUAAAUUAACAGCAACAUGCUUUAGGGGCAGAAAGAGUCUCCUGUGCAAGAACACUGAAGCAGUGUCCAUCCUUGCAUUGGACAAGAAUGGACCACACCAAGAACAGGACUGCAGAUCAAUCUCUAUUGCAGUUGCAUAUUCUCUGCAAAAGUGACCAGUCAAUUCCAAGUGCAAUUCUGAGCACUGAUAACAGCAAACUCCAUUUCUGCUGCCAUGAUUCACACAUCUGGCUUCCGGAAUUACUGUUUAAGUAACUCCAGAGAUCAUAUUCAGUCCCUCUUUCAAAAUGUGUGUGGAAAUAAACAUUGACUGUGUACAUGUAAACCUACUAUUUAUUACUAGUGAACUGAUUUUAAAUCAAUAAGCAAAGGACUUUGGUGUUCCCCAUU